UGAGCAAUCUGCCCCUCUCAUCGGAAUAAGCGUUGGAAACGACGUCUAAUGCCGAAUACGACCUCCUUUCGCAUGAUCGGAGGUGGAAAGCUCCGGCGGAGAAGGAUGAGCUCGCGGCCUAUCAGCUAGUUGGUGUGGGUAAUGGCCCACCAAGGCGACGACGGGUAGCCGGCCUAAGAGGGUGACCGGCCACACUGGGACUGAGACACGGCCCAGACCUCCUACGGGAGGNAGCG
rnacentral:rRNA from 1 species